UUUAAGCUUCCUACGGGAGGCUGCAGUGGGGAAUCUUGCGCAAUGGGCGAAAGCCUGACGCAGCCAUGCCGCGUGAAUGAUGAAGGUCUUAGGAUUGUAAAAUUCUUUCACCGGGGACGAUAAUGACGGUACCCGGAGAAGAAGCCCCGGCUAACUUCGUGCCAGCAGCCGCGGUAAUACGAAGGGGGCUAGCGUUGCUCGGAAUUACUGGGCGUAAAGGGAGCGUAGGCGGACAUUUAAGUCAGGGGUGAAAUCCCGGGGCUCAACCUCGGAAUUGCCUUUGAUACUGGGUGUCUUGAGUAUGAGAGAGGUGUGUGGAACUCCGAGUGUAGAGGUGAAAUUCGUAGAUAUUCGGAAGAACACCAGUGGCGAAGGCGACACACUGGCUCAUUACUGACGCUGAGGCUCGAAAGCGUGGGGAGCAAACAGGAUUAGAUACCCUUGUAGUCGAAUUCUUUA
rnacentral:rRNA from 1 species